GAUGGUUCGAUUAGUCUUUCGCCCCUAUACCCAGUUCAUACGAUCGAUUUGCACGUCAGAAUCGCUACGGACCUCCAUCAGGGUUUCCCCUGACUUCAUCCUGACCAGGCAUAGUUCACCAUCUUUCGGGUCCCAGCGUGUACGCUCUUGGUGCGCCGCAACUUGCAAUAAGUAUGCGACGCCCCGGGAAUGCGAGGUAACAUAAACAGCGUUACCCAUCUUCCCUUUAUAAAAUAGAAUUAUAAAAAUUAUAUAUAUAUAUUUACUUUCAUUACGCCUUUAGGUUUAUUAUAAAUACCCAAUGACUUGCGCACAUGCUAGAUG
rnacentral:rRNA from 1 species